ACGCAAGUGUGAAACUCAAAGGAAUUGACGGGGGCCCGCACAAGCGGUGGAGUAUGUGGUUUAAUUCGAUGCAACGCGAAGAACCUUACCAGGGUUUGACAUCCUGAGAACCUCUUAGAAAUUUGAGGGUGCCUUCGGGAAUUCAGUGACAGGUGGUGCAUGGCUGUCGUCAGCUCGUGUCGUGAGAUGUUGGGUUAAGUCCCGCAACGAGCGCAACCCACGUUUUUAGUUGCCAGCAUUUAGUUGGGCACUCUAGAAAGACCGCCGGUGAUAAACCGGAGGAAGGUGUGGAUGACGUCAAGUCAUCAUGCCCCUUACACCCUGGGCUACACACGUACUACAAUGCUACGGACAAAGGGCAGCAAACUCGCGAGAGCUAGCAAAUCCCAUAAACCGUGGCUCAGUUCAGAUCGUAGGCUGCAACUCGCCUACGUGAAGUAGGAAUCGCUAGUAAUCGCAGGUCAGCAUACUGCGGUGAAUACGUUCCCGGGCCUUGUACACACCGCCCGUCACACCAUGGAAGUUGGCCAUGCCCGAAGUCGUUACUCCAACCCUUGUGGAGGAGGACGCCGAAGGUGGGGCUAAUGACUGGGGUGAAGUCGUAACAAGGUAGCCGUACCGGAAGGUGCGGCUG
rnacentral:rRNA from 1 species